UCUCUCUCUCCCUUGAAGGC
rnacentral:miRNA from 2 species